UGUUAAUUUGCUUCUGCACCACCAAGGGACAAAGUACAUUUAAAAAACAUAUGUGGGAAUGAGCUAAAAGUGUCCCCAGCUUUCAUUGUCACCCACAAUGCAGAGUGUGGGAAGAUCUCUUGGAAAUGUGAGGAGAUGCAAGAUGAAGUUUGAAUCUCUGCUCCUCUUAAAAGGCUGCAAAAUCUUUUUUGGUAAAUUUCAGUGGGAACAGAUAGUUGUAAAGACUUGUGCUCUCAGUGUUCCUGAGCAGACCUUCAGAUGAUACUUAACAAGUCUAAUGGACCUGAGGAGAUGGUGCUCCAGUGUUAGCUGAGCUGCUUUUGAGUCCAGUCGGGUCUGACCUCAGUGAAUUCCUUUCCUUGCUAUUUUUUUCAAUGGAGAAAAACCAAGAGUCAGCAAUUUCUAGGUGAUGGGAGAAGCCUUCCAAAAGCAAUUAAAGGAGCCCCUUUAGCAUCAUGAGAAAGAAUAUCCUCUGUGAAUAAAGUAUUCCAACUUCUGUUCGUGCGCCCUUCCUCUCCAGCUAAUGAUCUAUUGCAUGCGAGUGACUGACCCAGCCCUGAUCUGAGAACAUUGAAAAUCUUAUCUGCAAGCAUAGAUCCUGUUUGUGCCUUCAGGCAACAUACUCAAUUUACAGCCAAGGCUCAAAGCCCUUUGAAAGUUGGCUCUUAAGGUCAUACCCCUUGUCCUAAAGUCUAUCAAGGAAUUUUCCCCUACAAUGUAUUCCAGGAGAGUUUUCUAGGACAUGCUUGCCUUGUUUUGUUUUCUUUUUGAUGCAGCAGAAACAGCAACCUUUGUGAGAGUUCAGAUAAUCAGAUUUGCAUUUUGUUUAACCAGUCUCACUGCUACUAUUUGGAAAACAGUAGUUUAAUAGUAACUCUCAAUAUAG